rnacentral:rRNA from 1 species
CGAAAGCCUGACGGAGCAAUACCGCGUGAGGGAGGAAGGCUCUUGGGUUGUAAACCUCUUUUCUCAGGGAAGAAUAAAUGACGGUACCUGAGGAAUAAGCAUCGGCUAACUCCGUGCCAGCAGCCGCGGUAAUACGGAGGAUGCAAGCGUUAUCCGGAAUGAUUGGGCGUAAAGCGUCCGCAGGUGGUUUUGUAUGUCUGCUGUUAAAGCGUGCGGCUUAACCGCAUAAGGGCGGUAGAAACUACAAGACUAGAGUACGUUCGGGGCAGAGGGAAUUCCCAGUGUAGCGGUGAAAUGCGUAGAGAUUGGGAAGAACAUCGGUGGCGAAGGCGCUCUGCUAGGCCUGUACUGACACUGAGGGACGAAAGCU